UGGGGAAUAUUGGACAAUGGGGGCAACCCUGAUCCAGCAAUGCCGCGUGUGUGAAGAAGGCCUUAGGGUUGUAAAGCACUUUAGGCUGGGAGGAAGGUAUGAAGUUUAAGAGAUAUUACAUUUGACUGUACCGGCAGAAUAAGCACCGGCUAACUCUGUGCCAGCAGCCGCGGUAAUACAGAGGGUGCGAGCGUUAAUCGGAGUUACUGGGCGUAAAGGGCGCGUAGGCGGUUUGUUAAGUGAUAUGUGAAAUCCCUGGGCUUAACCUAGGAACUGCAUGUCAUACUGGCGAGCUAGAGUAUUGUAGAGGGUAGUGGAAUUUCCGGUGUAGCGGUGAAAUGCGUAGAGAUCGGAAGGAACACCAGUGGCGAAGGCGGCUACCUGGACAAAUACUGACGCUGAGGCGCGAAAGCGUGGGGAGCAAACAGGAUUAGAUACCCCCGUAGUCC
rnacentral:rRNA from 1 species